rnacentral:lncRNA from 1 species
UAAAAAGGUAAAUGCUGCAUUUCUUGUGUUUCUCAGUUCCCCUUUCAAAUAAGCCUAGUGCAUACUGGAUGCAUUGUACUAUACAUAUAUACAUGUAUACACUAUACAAUAUACACAAAUAUAAAAUGGGAGACUGUUUCUAAAACACCCUAUAUGAUCUGUAGAAUUGAAAGCGUGAAUACACAAUGCAACACAAUACACAACACAGAGAUUGCACCGGCUGAUUAAUAACACUUAAGUUUUCAGGCACAGAAUUACCAUUAACCUGUGCCUGGCUCAGAGGAACAGUGUGCUCAAGCUUUGUGUUGAAGAGGUCUCAGGGAAGUGAAGCACCUCUGUUGUUAAAUCUGCUUCUCUAGCAGCCCCAGACACCGAAAGCAAAGCCUAUUUUGGGCUUUAGCCACAUGACAGCCAAACUGCAUACUGCUUGUCUUCCGUUAUUCAGGUAACACUCUCCUGAGGAAUUCAGGAGUCAGAAGGGGAAGAUGUGUUUGUGUGUGUAUGCAUGUGUGCAUGCGCAUUGCAGCACAUAUAUAUGUGAAAGCUUGCAUCUCAGUCGAACUUAAGGGAACUUGUCUGGUACAAAUGGCUGCAUAUGUCUUUUGACUGAAAAUGUGUUUGUUUGUUUGUUUGCUUGUUUGUUUGUUUUUGCUUUCUCAAUGACUGCUGCAGGAUCCUUGAAACGCAUAGAGUGAAUCAGUCUGUAAAAAAUUCGCAAUACUUUACAAAACAUUGUACUGGUAAGCAUUAUAAAUGUGGGAGCUAUGACUAGCACACUCACAAAUGGCUAUUCAUUAAAGUUCUGUUGGGUAGCAAACCAUGUUAAUUUUAAUAAACAAUGUAAAAUGUCACUGUUCCAGCCCUUUCCCAGGAUAUGUUUCAGUAUCUGCUGUCCUGUUGGUUUUGUUUAAGACAUGCUUGACCACAAUACAUUUUUUGUUAUGUGCUUGUUCCCCAGCCCCAGAGGUCAGUGCUGCCUUCAUCCAGAGGUGCGUGCUCUUGAACAAUCCCUGUGGACAUUUGGUCAUGCCAAAGGAGAUACUAGAAACUAUUUUGGAAGAAAUUUUGGAAGGACAAUCAAUUAUGGAAGACAUCAUCUGACAGUCUGCAUACUGUAUUAGACAAAAUAUUAUUUCCGGACCUGAAGUCAAUUCUUUUUCAGAAACCACAAAUUUGGAUCAGAAGUUUCCAAAGCUCUACAUAAAUCUCUGCUAUACAUAAGUGCCUAUCUAUGCAUAUACUUUGGUUUCAGUUUAUUAUUAUUGUAGGUCACAGUAAAUAAAAUCAUUUACUUUUGACUUAAAUAUUGGGGA